AUUAUGGAGAGUUUGAUCCUGGCUCAGGACGAACGCUGGCGGCAUGCCUAAUACAUGCAAGUCGAGCGAAUGACGAAGAAGCUUGCUUCUUCUGAUUUAGCGGCGGACGGGUGAGUAACACGUGG
rnacentral:rRNA from 1 species